rnacentral:rRNA from 1 species
UGAGUAACCUGCCCUUCACUCUGGGAUAACUCCGGGAAACCGGGCUAAUACUGGAUUAUGACUCGGAACAGGCAUCUGUUUCGGGUGGAAAGAUUUAUUGGUGGAGGAUGGACUCGCGGCCUAUCAGCUUGUUGGUGAGGUAAUGGCUCACCAAGGCAACGAUGCGUAGCCGACCUGAGAGGGUNAUCGGCCACAUUGGAACUGAGACACGGUCCAGACUCCGUACGGGAGCA